CUUGGGCAGGCUGGGACUGGCCAGGACACCACAGGGUUGCCAGGUGACAGACAACAGCGUGCCGAGCAGCUCCGGGGUGCACUGUGCCUCCUCCCAGGGAGGUUCCUCUCCGUGCCCCCCGGCCAUCACAGCGCAGGCAGCUGAGCCCGGCUGCAUCCCGCUUGGGACGUUCACUCUGAAGCGUAAUGAGGACCUUGAGCCUUCUGGAGCAGAGCCCUGCAACCCGGGGCACCCCAUCCCUGUCCCCCCCGCAGCAGCGCAGUGCUGGGACGUAUGGCAGAGCCUGCAGUGCCUCUCCUGACACUGUCGAUGUCCGUGGGACGGCCGUGGCUCCCGCUGAGGGCAGAGCUCCGGCUGCAGAUCCCAGCUUGGGAGGCUCCAGAUUUGCUGCUCCCCACGCAGGGAUGGUGGAACGCGGAGCGUGGAGCUGCUGGGGGCCACAGUGGGGCAGCAGGAGCAGCUCCAGCUCUGUGUGCACCGAGGAUGUGGCUGCCAGGUGUCGGGAGGGCACAGUGGGGACCUCCGAGGAGGAGGAGGAUGGCAGCGGGCAGGAUGGGGCCCCGCUCCCGUGGCAGUGCCCCUGGCAGGACAUGUCCCCAGGGCUGAUGAGGAGGGGGAGUCUGGAGUCGCUGGGAGCCAGGAUAUCCAGGCUGAGCCAGAGUGGGGCUGUGACCCCCUGCCCGGCCCCCUCCGGGCACCCAGCGCAGGGCAGGGGGGAUGCAUCCCACUGGGGCUCACGCUCCAGGGCAAAGCCCUCAGUCACCACUGUGCAUGGUGGGGAUGGGGACGCUGGACAUCUCCGGAGACCCUCAGGCAGCUCAGCCAGCAGGAGCAGGGCCAGGGCCAUGGGACACUGCAGAUGGCAGGAGCCACCAGCACGCCGGGGGUGGCAUGGAGGGGACGUCACCCUCACUGCAGAGAAGGAAGGAGAUGGCGACGGGCGGAGGAGAGCUCUCUGCACCAAAGCAGCAGUGGGACCCACCAGGAGAUGCAGCCCCUGGGCAGAGGGGCAGCACGAGGUGUCCUGCCCAGGGCAUGCAGCCAAGCCCCGGUGGCAGCGCUGGAAGCAGAAGGCCGUCCUGUCCCAUAGGCUGGCAGCGCUGCGCCGGGCCCUGAGGAGCAGCCAGGAGGGGAUGCAGGAGCCAGGAGCUGGAGCUCAGGGCAUGCAGAGCGAUGGGGAUGGGGCCAGGGCGCGUGCGUGGGAUUGUGUGGAUGUGGAGGAGGUGCAGGGGCAGAAGGGCUGUGCUGAACACCCAGGGAAGGUGAGGAGGAAAACGUUGGAUCUCAGAGAAGAGAAGAGGGAGCUGCAGGAGAGGCUCUGUGGACUGGAGCUCCAGAUGCUCUCCAUGCUGCGGCAGAGGCAGGAGGCCCUGGGGCAGCUGCGGGCAGUGCUGCAGAAGGAGAGGAUGGCCACACUCAGGCGGCUGCAGGAGAGCCUGGAGAAGGUGAAUGGGACCAUCUGUGUCUGUCAGAACUGUCACCCAGAGGAGCUGCCAGCCCCAGGAGCCCUGAAGGAGCCACUGACCCCAGAGAGAGCCCUGCGGGAGGCAGCGACGUGUGUGUGGGAUCCAGCCCGGCCACCAUCUCCUUCCCCUUCUACACCUGGGUUGAGCCAUGCCACAGCAACACCACACGGCGCUGGGGGUCCUGCACCACAUCCAGCGCUGCCUGCGGGAGCUGCAAGUAGAGGACCUCGGUGUGCUGGGAGCAGAGCUGGGCACCACAGCAAAUGAGGAGAGGUUCCUGAUGCCACCUCUUGACAUUCCUCCAAGCCCCAACAGGAACAAGCUCGCUGCUGCGACCAGGACUCGAGAUGAAGCAUGGAGGUGGUGAUGCAUCCCUCUACCUCCCUAUGCAUACCCAGGUCGACCAGUUGUGAAGCUGCUGAACGGGUCCCACGGAAUUUCCCAUGUAGAAGCUUCUCUUAGGUCCUGGCUGGGCUCCUUCCAAGGGCUGGGGACCGCGGGACAGCAUUUUGGGUGCGAUGGGUGAGGUCACGUGCCUCCACCAGGCUGCUGUCCAAGGUCCUGCCGGGAGAACCUGGAUUCCCAACCAGCAUCUUUGCUCCUCACACUCAUUUAGGAGCUUGGAAUGGAGAGGUCCAUGUUGCAGGGGUG
ensembl:lncRNA